rnacentral:rRNA from 1 species
AAGGGUGACGAAGCGACGCCGCGUGCGGGAAGAAGGCCUUCGGGUUGUAAACCGCUGUCGGGAGUUAGGAAAUGCAAGGAUGUUAAUAGCAUUCUUGCUUGACUAAGGCUCCGGAGGAAGCCACGGCUAACUCUGUGCCAGCAGCCGCGGUAAUACAGAGGCGGCAAGCGUUGUUCGGAAUUAUUGGGCGUAAAGAGCACGUAGGCGGCUGUGUAAGUCGGUUGUGAAAGCCUUCCGCUUAACGGAAGAACGGCAUCCGAUACUGCAUAGCUUGAGUGCGGGAGGGGAGAGUGGAACUUCUGGUGGAGCGGUGAAAUGCGUAGAUAUCAGAAGGAACACCGGCGGCGAAGGCGACUCUCUGGUCCGUAACUGACGCUGAGUGUGCGAAAGCUAGGGGAGCAAACGGGAUUAGAUACCCCGGUAGUCCUAGCCGUAAACGAUGGGCACUAAGUAGAGGGAAUU